rnacentral:hammerhead_ribozyme from 1 species
GUCCAGCUGACGAGUCCCAAAUAGGACGAAAUGCGCAUCCUGGAG